CGGACGGGUGAGUAACGCGUAGGAAUCUACCUAGUAGUGGGGGAUAGCCCAGAGAAAUUUGGAUUAAUACCGCAUACGCCCUACGGGGGAAAGGAGGGGAUCUUCGGACCUUUCGCUAUUAGAUGAGCCUGCGUGAGAUUAGCUAGUUGGUGAGGUAAAGGCUCACCAAGGCGACGAUCUCUAGCUGGUCUGAGAGGAUGAUCAGCCACACUGGGACUGAGACACGGCCCAG
rnacentral:rRNA from 1 species